UCCAAGAAGAAGCGUAUUUCCUGCGGGA
rnacentral:piRNA from 1 species